CACUGAAAGACCAGUUCUUGUCUGAUCACUGAAGUUAAGCAAUAUCAAGCCUAGUCAGUACCUAGAUGGGUGACUUCUUGGGAAUACCAUGUGUGGUAAG